CCAGACUCCUACGGGAGGCAGCAGUGGGGAAUAUUGCACAAUGGGGGAAACCCUGAUGCAGCGACGCCGCGUGAGCGAUGAAGUAUUUCGGUAUGUAAAGCUCUAUCAGCAGGGAAGAAAAUGACGGUACCUGACUAAGAAGCCCCGGCUAACUACGUGCCAGCAGCCGCGGUAAUACGUAGGGGGCAAGCGUUAUCCGGAUUCACUGGGUGUAAAGGGAGCGUAGACGGCGACGCAAGUCUGGAGUGAAAGGCGGGGGCUCAACCCCCGGACUGCUCUGGAAACUGUACGGCUGGAGUGCAGGAGAGGUAAGUGGAAUUCCUAGUGUAGCGGUGAAAUGCGUAGAUAUUAGGAGGAACACCAGUGGCGAAGGCGGCUUACUGGACUGUAACUGACGUUGAGGCGCGAAAGCGUGGGGAGCAAACAGGAUUAGAUACCCCCGUAUU
rnacentral:rRNA from 1 species